CUAAGAAAAAACCAUACGACGCCCCCUCCUCUCGAUCCUGAUGCGACCUCUCUCUUUCCCCCAUCUCCCGUGCCGCUGCUGCCCCCAUCUCACGCUCCGCCGCCGGCCCUACUGCUCCGCUGGCCCGACCUCUUCAUCGGGCGCGGCCGCAGGAGCAGCUCCACCUCUCCACUCCCUCACGCAACAACACUCCAAACACCCACCCCCACGCUCGGCUGCCGCUAGGGUUUCUUACCCUCGCUGCCCCGCUGCGAUUCGUGUUGCGGGCAGUGAGGAUGGGACCGGGUCGGCCGUGUCGCUUGGCGGGUUGAGUGGCUGGGGCAGUGGCGCCACUACGCUGGGCGGAGGAGAAGGAUAGAGCCGUGGUGGUCCGAGCCUGGAGGGUAGCGUUGUGCCAGAUCGAGGUAGCGUUCACUGUCGUCUGAUCCAUGAAAUUUGAGAUUGCCGUCGCAGGUCGCCGAUGGCCAACAUGCGUAGGUCAUGUACGAUCCUCCCUCGCAAUCCAUGCAGUAUGGCUCACCACCUCAGGCCGACGCGGUGCCUCCUCGGCGGGGCAGGCGACGACCUCUUCCUCCUCGGGUUGUCUCCGUCCUCCCGCUCAAGCCAUCGCCAUCGCCUCCCAUCCUUCAUGGCAUGCUUGUGUGGGCCCACGGCUGGAGGAUGACAUUGAACAUGAAGCGGAUCUCAGCCGGAGCGGUCUGACGCGGUGGUCGUUGCCAAGGAGUGGUUGUCGACGCCAUCGAGCAGGGGCCCUCGGUCGCCUACCCUCCUCUUGCUGCUAUCCUCCACGUCCCCGAAGAACAUUAUCCAGAGCAGCACGAGAGUUGUUGCUUGUGUCGCUCCCCUUACUGGAGGAGGGCUCCACUAUGGCCAUUCGCCACUCUGCCUGCAAGCUCGACGCCACAAUUUGACAAGGACAAGGUGGUAGUCGACGAUGACGAGUAUGGCGCCCUGGCUGUCUCUGUUCAUGAGAUUUCCGUAUGGUGGCCGAAUUUGAACCACACGAGGCUGCUCCCCUCGUAUUGCAGAUCAGACUUAGAUUAUAUUCAUCCAUAGGUCAUGGGUGGCUCCAAAAGCUACGCCACAUGAUAUUAUCAGGUUAUUAUUACCCACCAAGUCACUAGGCCAGCUUUUGCUGUACUUUUUCUUCAUUUUGUUCAGAUUUAUUUCAUGCCCGAAUGUUCUAUUAUGUGCAGCUAUGAGAUUUUAUUUGAAGAAUCAUGCAAAGCAAUUUGAGAUGAUGCAUAUAAAGCAUCUUCAAUUUA